GACGAACGCUGGCGGCGUGCUUAACACAUGCAAGUCGAACGGAAAGGCCCUGCUUGCACGGUACUCGAGUGGCAAACGGGUGAGUAACACGUGGGUGAUCUGCCCUGCACAUCGGGCUACGCCUGCGAAACUGGGUCUAUUACCGGCUAGGAGCCAUCUGUAGUGUGAUGGUUGGAAAGUUUUUUCGGUGUAGGAUGAGCUCGCGGCCUAUCAGCUUGUUGGUGCGGUAAUGGCCUACCAAGGCGGCGACGGGUAGCCGGCCUGAGAGGCUGGACGGCCACAUUGGGACUGAGAUACGGCCCAGACUCCGCCGGGAGGCAGCAGUGGGGAAUAUUGCACAAUGGGCGCAAGCCUGAUGCAGUGACGCCGCGUGGGGGAUGACGGCCUUAGGGUGGUAACCUCCUUUCGCUAGGGACGAAGCUUUUUGUGACGGUACCUAGAGAAGAAGCACCGGCUAACUACGUG
rnacentral:rRNA from 1 species